rnacentral:lncRNA from 1 species
CACAUUUGUUUUCUGUUUUUGUUUUCAGUGUCAUUGAUUCUGCUCUUUAUUUUUUUUCUUCAUUCUUCUAGAUGUGGGUUUAUUUUGCUCACCCUUUUCUAGUUUCUUAACAUGGAAGCUUAGAUUAUUGAUCUGAGACCUUCCUUCCUAAUAUAAGCCCUCGAAGCUAUAAGUUUUCUUCUAAGCCUUGCUUCAGCUGUGCCCGCAAAUUUUGCUAUGUUGUAAUUUUUUUCUUCCGUUUAAAAUAUUUCCUAAUUUCUCUUGAGACUUUUUUCUAGUUUAAUUCCAUUAUAGCCAGAAACAUGCCCUGUAUGAUUUCAAUUGUUUUUCGUUUGUUAAUGUUUAUUUUAUAAACUGGGAGAUGGGCUGUUUUGAUUAACGUUUCAUGGGCACGUGAAAACAUGUGCUCUUCUGCUGCCGCUGGGCGGAGUGUUCUGUGAAUGUCAGUUAAAGUUAUUUGAUUAACUAUGUUCUUUAGCUCUUCUGUAUUUUCACUAUUUUCUGUCUGCCAGUUCUAUUACUGAUAGAAGUGUUGAAGUCUCCAACUGUGAUUGUAAAUUUGUGUAGUUCUCCUUUCAAUUCUGUCAGAUUUUCCUUCAUACCUGGUCCCUUAGCCCAAUCUUCUUUGCAGUUUAGCCUUUUUCUGGAAGAUCAGUUUAGUCUGUCCAUCAUCGCCACUCUGUUUCCUGUCAUAAUGCUGCUUUCCCUGGGCAUUCAGAGAAGCUUGUUCUUCUUGCAUUCUGUCAUUUGGUAGGGAUGAUGCUUGCCAUACUUGUUAUAGAAGUCCACCAGGUUUUAGGACCAUUCACCAUGUUCACAAGAGCACUGUUAGCACAGAAGCUCAUAUAUUUUGAAGCUCCGAUCUUAGGUUCUGAGGAGAAACUCACUCCCCUUGUGUGUCUCCUCUACUCUCAACACUCUAUUACAAUACUACUUCACUUCUAACACCAGAUGUAUGGGUAUUCCACACGUCAAGCAAUUCCAUGAUACCAGCUAGGUGUCCUACAAUUCAACUCAAUUCUGACAGUCUACCUAGUUAGCAUCAAAUCCCACA